AGCACGUGAAACCGCUCAGGGGUAAACGGGCGGAACCGAAGCGAACGGCUCGCGAGGGUCAGUCCUCGUUCGCUCCCGCCCUUCGGGGAGGCACGUCUCGGUCUUCGGGGCCGGGGCGGCCCAUUCCUCGGAGGUUGGCCGGUGGGCGGACUCGGGCGCACCCCUCGCGAGCCUCUGCCGCGACCGACUUUGAACCGGCUCGUGGAGGGAGUCGGACUCUUUCGGCCUUUCCCGGCCGGAGGACGAGAUUCUCCUCCGCCUAGCGAGCCCGGUUCGGGGCCGAGGGACGACCGCGGGAAUCGGGGGCGGUCGCGACGUCGAGGUUCUGCCUCGGCCCGCGAUCCCCGUCCCGCUCAGGGUCGGCGGCGAACGCGGACGGCUGUCCUCCCGACCCGUCUUGAAACACGGACCAAGGAGUCUGGCGCGCGCGCGAGUCGCGGGGUUCCACGAAACCCGCAGGCGAAGUGAAAGCGAGGGUCGCCUCGAGCCGACCUCGGCGAGAUCCCGCCGGGGGGAGGGUUUAAUCGCCCUCUCCCUCGGGCGCAUCGCCGGCCCGUCCUACGCCGCGUCGACGGUGGGGCGGAGCGAGAGCGCGCGUGCCGGGACCCGAAAGAUGGUGAACUACGCCUAGGCAGGGCGAAGCCGGGGGAAACCCCGGUGGAGGCCCGCAGCGACUCUGACGUGCAAAUCGAUCGUCCGACCCGGGCGUAGGGGCGAAAGACCAAUCGAACCAUCUAGUAGCUGGUUCCCUCCGAAGUUUCCCUCAGGAUAGCCGGCGCUCGUCUGGAAAGAGUUUCAUCCGGUAAAGCGAAUGAUUAGAGGCCUCGGGGCCGAAACGGCUUCGACCUAUUCUCAAACUUUCAACGGGUGAGAAAUCCGGCCCGCCUGAACCACGGGGCCGGCGAUGGACGAAUCAGAGUGCCGAGUGGGCCACUUUUGGUAAGCAGAACUGGCGCUGCGGGAUGAACCGAACGCCCGGUCGCGGUGCCCAACGCUGACGCUCAUCGGACCCCACAAAAGGCGUCGGUCGGUAAAGACAGCAGGGCGGUGGCCAUGGAAGUCGGAACCCGCCAAGGAGUGU
rnacentral:rRNA from 1 species